GUGCCUAACACAUGCAAGUCGAACGAGAAAGUGGAGCAAUCCAUGAGUACAGUGGCGACCGGGUGAGUAACACGUGACUAACCUACCCUCGAGUGGGGAAUAACUCCGGGAAACCGGAGCUAAUACCGCAUAACAUCGCAAGAUCAAAGCAGCAAUGCGCUUGAGGAGGGGGUCGCGGCUGAUUAGCUAGUUGGCGGGGUAACGGCCCACCAAGGCGAAGAUCGGUAUCCGGCCUGAGAGGGCGCACGGACACACUGGAACUGAAACACGGUCCAG
rnacentral:rRNA from 1 species